UGUGAUAUCAAGGGAAAACCCAAGCAAUCCUGUGCAAAGAACUUCUUGAAAAUGAGUGGGAAACUGAAGCCUCCUACCACCAAUCAGUUGGCCAUAGAUUCAUCACUGAUGUGUUGCGUACAAAACUAAAAGAUGUUCCCUGACUUAAGAAAACACUUUUUGUGCUCACUUCGGCAGCACGUAUACCAAAAUUGGAAAACACUUUUUGUCAGGUGUUUUUAAUUUGUAACUAGCUAUGUUCCAGGAGUAAAGUUGAAGCUGUGAACUUUCCAAGAAUAAAGCUGAAGCUGUGAACUGAGCC